rnacentral:tRNA from 1 species
CAGAGCGUAGCUAAGUAGUAAAGCAUUUCCCUUACACCGAAAAGACAUCCAUGCGAACUGGAUCGCCCUGA